ensembl:lncRNA
UCUGCCGCUGUGUACUCUCUGUGUAGGGCCAAAUAGCAUUCUAGUUUGCUCUGUUUUUUUGUUAAUUCUUUCCAAUGUGUCAAGUAAUUAUCUUUUUGUUUCCUCAUGAUUUGGUUGGGUCUAAUUGUGCUGCUGUCCUGUGGCUCUGUAGUGUGUGUUUGUGUUUGUGAACAGAGCCCCAGGACCAGCUUGCUUAGGGGACUCUUCUCCAGGUUUUUUUUCUCUGUAGGUGAUGGCUUUGUUAUGGAAGGUUUGGGAAUCGCUUCCUCUUAGGUGGUUGUUGAAUUUAACGUCUCUUUUCUGGAUUUUUAUAAUUAGUGGGUAUCGGCCUAAUUCUGCUCUGCAUGCAUUAUUUGGUGUUCUACGUUGUACACAGGAUAUUUUUGCAGAAUUCUGCGUGCAGAGUCUCAAUUUGGUGUUUGUCCCAUUUUGUGAAUUCUUGGUUGGUUAGUGGACCCCAGACCUCACAACCAUAAAGGGCAAUGGGUUCUAUAACUAUAUUUUUAGCCAGACCCUAAUUUGUAUGUCAAAUUUUAUGUUUCUUUUGAUGGCAUAGAAUGCCCUUCUUGCCUUGUCUCUCAGAUCGUUCACAGCUUUGUGGAAGUUACGUGUGGUGCUGAUGUUUAGGCCAAGGUAUGUUUAAUUUUUUGUGUGCUCUAGGGCAACGGUGUCUAGAUGGAAUUUGUAUUUGUGGUCCUGGUGACUUUUUUUGGAACAUUUAUUUUUGUCUUACUGAGAUUUACUGUCAGGGCCCAGAUCUGUUAGGGCCCAGAUCUGUUAGGGCCCAGUCUGUCAGGGCCCAGGUCUGUUAGGGCCCAGAUCUGACAGAAUCUGUGCAGUAGAUCGAGGUUUGACAUUUGCUCAGUACCAUGUUUUCACUGAGGAAAUGUACGAGUCAGCUGUUAAUGAUAAUGCAGAGGAUUUUUCCAAGGCAGGUCUCACAAUAGUUAUUGGGGUCAAAUUUGUCUCCACUUUUGUGGAUUGGGGUGAUCAGUCCUUGGUUCUAAAUAUUGGGGAAGAUGCCAGAGCUAAGGAGGAUGUUAAAGAGUUUUAGUAUAGCCAAUUUGGAAUUUGUUGUCUGUAUAUUUGAUCAUUUCAUUGAGGAUACCAUCAACACCACAGGCCUUUUUGGGUUGGAGGGUUUUUAUUUUGUCCUUUAGUUCAUUCAAUUUAAUAAGAGAUUCCAGUGGGUUCUGGGAGUCUUUAAUAGUUGAUUCUAAGAUCUGUAUUUGAUCCUGUAUAUGUUUUUGCUGUUUUUUGUUAUAAGGCCAAAAAGAUUGGAGAAGUGUUUUUUUUUAAUACCAUUAUUUAACUAGGCAAGUGGGUUAAGAAAAAAUUCUUAUUUUCAAUGACGGCCUAGGAACAGCGGGUUAACUGCCUGUUCAGGGGGCAGAAUGACAAAUUUUGAAACGAUGUCAGCUCGGGGGUUUGAACUUGCAACCUUCCGUUUACUAGUCCAACGCUCUAACCACUAGGCUACCCUGCCGCCAUACCCAUACAUCUCCAAAUUGGAUAGAUAAUUCUUUGUGUUGUUGUUUGUUUAGUGUUUUCCAAUUUUCCCAGAAGUGGUUAGAGUCUAUGGAUUCUUCAAUUACAAUUACACUCGUUUUUGUUGGUUAUGUUGUUGUAGUUGUGCCUAGGGGGGGCAUAUGGGGGAGGGAAUGCUGUCACCUGCAGGUGUUUGUCCCCCUGUGUGCUGAGGGUGUCAGGUUCUUGUCCGGUUCUGGCAUUUAGGUCGCCACAGACUAGUACAUGUCCCUGGGCCUGGAAAUCAUUGAUUUCCCCCUCCAGGGUGGAGAGGUUGUCGUCAUUAAAGUAUGGAGAUUCUAGUGGGGGGAUAUAGGUAGCACACAGGAGGACAUUUUUCUCUGUUGAAAUCAUUUCCUUUUGAGUAUCUUGCUAUAAAAAAAAAAAACUAUAAAAUGUUCCUGUUUUGAUGAAUUUAAAAGAGUGAGUUAGGUCUGCUCUGUACCAAAUUAGCAUUCCCCCUGAGUCCCUUCCCUGUUUCACACCUGGUAGUUUGGUGGAAGGGAUUACCAGCUCUCGAUAACCUACAGUAAGGGGCAACCAGUGGAUCCAUCUCCUCUAUAUUAUAUUUCUUGUAGGAUGGCAAUGUCUGUAUUUCCUAUUUCUUAGAUGAAGUUCCUGCUCUUUAGGCUAAAGGCAGAUGACCUCAGAUUUCUCUCUCUAUAAAAUAAACAUUGAUGAAGGGAACAUGUAUAUAUUUAUAUUAUAUUUUUAUUUAUACAUCUAUAUUUGUGACUCGUUUCAGGGCACUAGGUGUAUGUCACUACUUCACAGGAGAGGCAUUUGAGCAUAAAAAUACAUUUUUUUUGAUAGCCUUCUGAAACAUGUCACCUUUCAAGUGUCUUAAUAAUAAACUUGUUUGCCAUCUGUAAAUACAAAAUAAAAUGUUUUAAAUUACGCGCCUAGUUAGUGUGGGCUGGACAUGCUAAGAGAUGAGUUCUGAUUGGUCUGCCAUGUAGCGCGCUUCUGUCUCUAACAUGAGCUGGUCAGUAUGUGUAGGUAAUCCUUUCUAACACAGUUUUUUUGAAAGAUGUCACAAAUAACUUACAAUGUGUUGCUAAUGCUCUCCUCUUUCUGGAGGACGAUCGUGCCAUGCUGACUAAUCUCGGACUCUGUAAAUUAAUCAGACAAUGAGGAAAUCCCUUUUUUUUUUAUAGGUAAAAAAAAAACAUUUUAAUUGAACCAGACAUUGUAGAGUCUUCUGAAACAGCAAUCAACAACAGUAUAGUUGUCACGGAAGAAGUUGACCAAGUUUUGACAUCAUUGUAAUGCCCGGUGGAAGCACAGUAUGAUAGCUGAGGAGUAGGAGAAAACUCUGGCGUUCGAUUGCAAAUAUAUAAGGAGUCGAAAAGAGAACACAUAGAAGGUGUACAUUGUUUACAUCUUCAAACUAAGCGCAACCAUGGCAACCAUCGUGACGGAGAGGGAUCAGCGUUCGUCCACGUAUACGGGUAAGAGAGUCUAGCUAACUACAUUUUAAUAAGAUAGUAAACAUUUCUAAUUUUGUAAGAAAGUCAUUUUCAUUGCAAGUUAAAGCGUACUGUUAGCUAGCUAGCUUACGUCAGCUGGCUCGCUCGCUAGUACAGUAUCUCAGAAAACCAUUUGCAUUGCUAGUUAUAGCCUAAUGUUAGCUAGCUAGCUGACAUUGAAACUAGUUGGUUUCGAGCGCUGCCAGAUUGUUGGGGCUCCCGGGUGACGCAGCGGUCUAAGGCACUGCAUCUCAGUGCUAGAGGUAUCACUACAGACCCUAGUUCGAUCCCGGGCUGUAUCACAACAGGCCGUGAAUUGGGAGUCCCAUAGGGCGGCGCACAUAGGGCAGCAUCGUUAGUGGAGGGAUUGGCCGGGGUAGGGCGUCACUGUAAAUAAGAAUUUGUUCUUAACUGACUUGUCUAGUUUCAGAUUCAUGCAUGGUAGUAACGUUGGGAUUAUAGUUCAUUGUUUAGCUAGCUAGCUACAUGUCUAAAUAAAAGACUCCAUUAUGCAAGGAACCAUUUCACUGUACCAACUCCUGUAUCCUGUAUCCUGUGCAUGUGACGAAUAAACUUUGAUUUAUGUUGUGUUGUGUUUACCAGAGACGGUAAUGUGAAGAUAACAUGACCUGCACCAAAGUCAAAUUAAUGUUAAGCCCAUAGUCAUGUAGAAUGCACUGUUUUCAUUUCAUCACAAUCACAACCGUAAGCUUUUUUCUGUAAUUAGCUCGCUAUUAACUUGCAACUAAUGAUCUUGUUGUGAGUUUUAUAUUUUCCUGUAAUAAUGAAUACAAAUUUGCUAAAGAGAAGACAUUGUCAGCUAUAAUAUGGUGAUUAUAUCAACUGACUAGCCAGAUAACUUAACGUUAGCUAGCUAACAAGCUAGAAACUAACCAAAACAUUGUUUAGAAAGUUGCUUUUAGUUACCUGGUUUGCUAGAUUGACACAAAGUGCCUUGCAAAAGUAUUCAUCCCCCUUGGCGAUUUUCCUAUUUUGUUGCAUUACAACCUGCAAUUUAAAUUGAUUUUUAUUUGGAUGUCAUGUAAUGGACAAAGACAAAAUAUUCCAAAUUGAUGAAGUGAAAUGAAAAAAAUAACUUGUUUCAAAAAAUUCCAAAAAAUAAAAACUGGAAAAGUGGUGCGUGCGUAUGUAUUCACCCCCUUUGCUAUUGAUGGAGUUCACAUUGGGGUCAUGAUAGGGGCUGCACCAAAUGUUUGAUGUAUUAUAAUAAUUGAUUAUGCUUAUGUUGUAGUAAUAGAAGGGGGGGGUUAUAAGACCCAUCCCUCACUACAUUUAGAAGGCCCUAGACUACAGAUUAACAAUAUAUAUUUAUUAUAAGGAUUCAAAUUGUUCCACUUUUCUUUUAUAGUCUCUGCCUCUUAUAAAGAAACUGUCUGAAAGAUGUGUGUUAUUGCAGUCAAAACAGGGUGUCUGUGAGAAAGCUCCUAAAGGCUAACAGAGAUUCAUAGACACAGAACCCUGCAGGGGAGUGAAAGAGAUAAGAGACUAGUCAGACAUACCACUAUAAAUCAACUUGGGGAGUGGACAUUUACUGCUGAGCCUUUAGAAAACACUGAAACUAUUAGUUGUAUAGCUGUGUAUGCAUGGGCUUGGUCUCAUGAGUAGAAGGUAAUGAUGUAGGCAGUGACAUCACUAGGGGUUGACUGCAAGCAUAAUAAAACUUGG